GACGAACGCUGGCGGCGUGCUUAACACAUGCAAGUCGAACGGAAAGGCCCUGCUUUUGUGGGGUGCUCGAGUGGCGAACGGGUGAGUAACACGUGAGUAACCUGCCCUUGACUUUGGGAUAACUUCAGGAAACUGGGGCUAAUACCGGAUAGGAGCUCCUGCUGCAUGGUGGGGGUUGGAAAGUUUCGGCGGUUGGGGAUGGACUCGCGGCUUAUCAGCUUGUUGGUGGGGUAGUGGCUUACCAAGGCUUUGACGGGUAGCCGGCCUGAGAGGGUGACCGGCCACAUGGGGACGGAGAUACGGCCCAGACGCCUACGGGGGGAAGCGGGGGGGAAUAUGGCACAAGGGGUGGAGGCCGGAUGCGGCAACGCCGCGUGCGGGAUGACGGCCUUCGGGUGGUAAACCGCUUUCGCCUGUGACGAAGCGUGGGUGACGGUAAUGGGGAAAGAAGCACCGGCUAACUACGU
rnacentral:rRNA from 1 species